AUGCUGACGCGGAGGGUCAUUACCGAGUUUACAACUCCCAAACCCAAUGUGAACGUUACCAAACUGUUGCCUCGGCGGGAUCUCUGCCCCGGGUGCGUCGCAGCCCCGGACCAAGGCGCCCGCCGGAGGACCAACCAAAACUCUUAUUGUAUACCCCCUCGCGGGUUUUUUUUAUAAUCUGAGCCUUCUCGGCGCCUCUCGUAGGCGUUUCGAAAAUGAAUCAAAACUUUCAACAACGGAUCUCUUGGUUCUGGCAUCGAUGAAGAACGCAGCGAAAUGCGAUAAGUAAUGUGAAUUGCAGAAUUCAGUGAAUCAUCGAAUCUUUGAACGCACAUUGCGCCCGCCAGUAUUCUGGCGGGCAUGCCUGUCCGAGCGUCAUUUCAACCCUCGAACCCCUCCGGGGGGUCGGCGUUGGGGAUCGGCCCUGCCUUGGCGGUGGCCGUCUCCGAAAUACAGUGGCGGUCUCGCCGCAGCCUCUCCUGCGCAGUAGUUUGCACACUCGCAUCGGGAGCGCGGCGCGUCCACAGCCGUUAAACACCCAACUUCUGAAAUGUUGACCUCGGAUCAGGUAGGAAUACCCGCUGAACUUAAGCAUACAAAAACCGGGGAAGGA
rnacentral:rRNA from 1 species